GAGUUANGAUCAUGGCUCAGAGUGAACGCUGGCGGUAGUGCCUAACACAUGCAAGUCGAACGGCAGCACGAGAGAGCUUGCUCUUUUGGUGGCGAGUGGCGGACGGGUGAGGAAUACAUCGGAAUCUACCUUGUCGUGGGGGAUAACGUAGGGAAACUUACGCUAAUACCGCAUACGACCUACGGGUGAAAGCGGAGGACCUUCGGGCUUCGCGCGACUAGAUGAGCCGAUGUCGGAUUAGCUUGUUGGCGGGGUAAAAGCCCACCAAGCGACGAUCCGUAGCUGGUCUGAGAGGAUGAUCAGCCACACUGGAACUGAGACACGGUCCAGACUCCUACGGGAGGCAGCAGUGGGGAAUAUUGGACAAUGGGCGCAAGCCUGAUCCAGCCAUACCGCGUGGGUGAAGAAGGCCUUCGGGUUGUAAAGCCCUUUUGUUGGGGAAGAAAAGCAGCUGGCUAAUACCCGGCUGUCCUGACGGUACCCAAAGAAUAAGCACCGGCUAACUUCGUGCCAGCAGCCGCGGUAAUACGAAGGGUGCAAGCGUUACUCGGAAUUACUGGGCGUAAAGCGUGCGUAGGUGGUUGUUAAGUCUGAUGUGAAAGCCCUGGGCUCAACUGGGAAUUGCACUGGAUACUGGCAGGCUAGAGUGCGGUAGAGGAUGGCGGAAUUCCCGGUGUAGCAGUGAAAUGCGUAAGAUCGGGAGGACAUCCGUGGCGAAGGCGCAUCUGGACA
rnacentral:rRNA from 1 species